CCGCCCGUCACACCACGAGAGUUUGUAACACCCGAAGUCGGUGAGGUAACCUAUUAGGAGCCAGCCGCCUAAGGUGGGAUAGAUGAUUGGGGUGAAGUCGUAACAAGGUAGCCGUAUCGGAAGGUGCGGCUGGAUCACCUCCUUUCUAAGGAA
rnacentral:rRNA from 1 species